GAUUGCGACAAUUUGUAGAAUAUAAAAUGUAUUUUUAUUUCAUCAUUGACAUAGUGUUAUAAGACGUUUAUAAUCGUUCACCAAUGUUCUUGCAUUUACCAAGAGAAUCCUACGUAAAGUUACGCAUAUACUUGCUAUUUCCUUCUCUCGAAAUUAAUCCAGUAUCUAGGCACCGUAUGAUUUUUUACAGUAAUAAACGCUUUCGAAUUGUUUGAAAAGAUCACUGCUUUAAAUAUCAACAUUAUGUACAUAGUUUUCCGAUUCGACAGAAUUUUCCUGUAAUAAUUGAUUCUUCCAUUUUCGCUCGACACACAAAUUUCAACCUUACGAUAUCCAGUCAAACAUAUACGUACUAACUAAUAUUGUUAAAUACAAUAUGAAUGUUUAUAUAGGCUCAAGAUAGAGUAAGAUCGAUAGUUUGAAUCCGAUAUUGUUGUUUACCAGUCGAAUACGUAUUUUAUCACGGAAGCCCGCGGAUUUUCCACACAGGCUACCCACAACCAAGAGAAAAAAUUACGUUCGGAACCUUCGUCCCUCUGCUACAUUAAACCAAUUAUUUGAACUUUUGUCAAUUUAGUAACACCUUAAAUCACUACUCAAAGCUCGUAUUCGCAAAGAAGUGUAGUAUCCUUACUUAUUUUUGUUUUGUUUUGUAUAUCUAUAAAUACUUAUGUCACAUAUUUUCUAAAUAUCUUCCUCAGAUAACGAAAAAGUUCUUCAUACGGUCUGGUUUCUAAGGUCAAAUAUCGGGCACAGUUUACUGGACGUUACACGGGGGCCCAAGUAGCAAGGAGAUCCCAAGGAACUAUGUGUAUGCGAUAAGAAUGUAUAAAAGAUAACACACCAGAUACUAAUGCACACAUCGGUUCAACCAAGUGAAUGAAUUAUCCAGCUAUCCAGUGUAGCCGCGGAAUCUAAGAAGCAAGACCAUUGAGAUACGUGAAAAAUACAACGCGCCCUACACGACACAUGGUAUCUUCUGUCCGCGCGCGAUUUAAUAUAAAAAGUG